AUAAAGGCAUGGUCCCGACCUUUUUAUCAGCUAUUACUCAAUUUACACAUGCAAGUCUCCGCAAUCCCGUGAGUAUACCUCAAAACCUUUCCGGAAACGAGGACCCAGGCAUCAGGCACAAACACUUAGCCCAAAACGCCUAGCCAAGCCACACCCCCAAGGGAAUUCAGCAGUGGUAAAUAUUAAGCCAUAAGUGAAAACUUGACUUAGUGAGAGCUAAAGGAGGGUCGUUAAACCUCGUGCCAGCAAUCGCGGUUAAACGAGAGACCCCAGUUGAUAAUAUUUUACGGCGUAAAGGGUGGUUAGGGAUAAAACAAAAUAAAGCCAAAUGACCCCUUGGCUGUCAUACGCUUCUAGACGUCCGAAGCCCUUAACACGAAAGUAGCUUUAACUAAUAUACCCGACCCCACGAAAGCUAAGAAACAAACUGGGAUUAGAUACCCCACUAUGCUUAGCUAUAAACUUAGAUAUUUAUGGACAUGAAAUUCCGCCAGGGCACUACGAGCACCAGCUUAAAACCCAAAGGACCUGACGGUGUCUCAGACCCAUCUAGAGGAGCCUGUUCUAGAACCGAUACCCCCCGUUUAACCCUACCACUUCUAGUUGUUCCAGCCUAUAUACCGCCGUCGUCAGCUUACCCUGUGAAGGUAAUAAAAUUAAGCAAAAUGAGCAUAACCCAAAACGUCAGGUCGAGGUGUAGCGAAUGAUGUGGAAAGAAAUGGGCUACAUUUUCUACUAUAGAAUACUACGAAUUUACACUAUGAAACAGUGUUUGAAGGAGGAUUUAGCAGUAAAAGGAAAAUAGAAUAUUCCUUUGAAUCCGGCUCUGAGACGCGUACACACCGCCCGUCGCUCUCCCCAAUAAACGAAUAAAAAUAACUAAUAAUAUAACACUAAUUAAGGGGAGAUAAGUCGUAACAUGGUAAGUGUAUUGGAAGAUGCACUUGAACCAAACC
rnacentral:ncRNA from 1 species